rnacentral:rRNA from 1 species
AUAGCACGGGGAAACUCGUAUUAAUACCGCAUACGACCUACGGGAGAAAGGGGGCAGUUUACUGCUCUCGCUAUUAGAUGAGCCUAAGUCGGAUUAGCUAGAUGGUGGGGUAAAGGCCUACCAUGGCGACGAUCUGUAGCUGGUCUGAGAGGAUGAUCAGCCACACCGGGACUGAGACACGGCCCGGACUCCUACGGGAGGCAGCAGUGGGGAAUAUUGGACAAUGGGGGAAACCCUGAUCCAGCCAUGCCGCGUGUGUGAAGAAGGCCUUUUGGUUGUAAAGCACUUUAAGCAGUGAAGAAGACUCCAUGGUUAAUACCCAUGGACGAUGACAUUAGCUGCAGAAUAAGCACCGGCUAACUCUGUGCCAGCAGCCGCGGUAAUACAGAGGGUGCAAGCGUUAAUCGGAAUUACUGGGCGUAAAGGGAGCGUAGGUGGCUCUAUAAGUCAGAUGUGAAAUCCCCGGGCUUAACCUGGGAACUGCAUCUGAAACUGUAGAGCUAGAGUAUGUGAGAGGAAGGUAGAAUUCCAGGUGUAGCGGUGAAAUGCGUAGAGAUCUGGAGGAAUACCGAUGGCGAAGGCAGCCUUCUGGCAUAAUACUGACACUGAGGCUCGAAAGCGUGGGUAGCAAACAGGAUUAGAUACCCUGGUAGUCCACGCCGUAAACGAUGUCUACUAGUCGUUGGGUCCCUUGAGGACUUAGUGACGCAGCUAACGCAAUAAGUAGACCGCCUGGGGAGUACGGCCGCAAGGUUAAAACUCAAAUGAAUUGACGGGGGCCCGCACAAGCGGUGGAGCAUGUGGUUUAAUUCGAUGCAACGCGAAGAACCUUACCUGGUCUUGACAUAUCUAGAAUCCUGCAGAGAUGCGGGAGUGCCUUCGGGAAUUAGAAUACAGGUGCUGCAUGGCUGUCGUCAGCUCGUGUCGUGAGAUGUUGGGUUAAGUCCCGCAACGAGCGCAACCCUUGUCCUUAGUUACCAGCGGGUUAAGCCGGGAACUCUAAGGAUACUGCCAGUGACAAACUGGAGGAAGGCGGGGACGACGUCAAGUCAUCAUGGCCCUUACGACCAGGGCUACACACGUGCUACAAUGGUAGGUACAGAGGGCAGCUACACAGCGAUGUGAUGCGAAUCUCAAAAAGCCUAUCGUAGUCCAGAUUGGAGUCUGCAACUCGACUCCAUGAAGUAGGAAUCGCUAGUAAUCGCGGAUCAGAAUGCCGCGGUGAAUACGUUCCCGGGCCUUGUACACACCGCCCGUCACACCAUGGGAGUUGAUUGCACCAGAAGUGGAUAGCUUAACCUUC